GCGGGCGGUCAAGUGGUGAACGUCUGGCCUUCCAAGCCGGAACAGACCGGGUCGGAUCCGGUCGCCCGCUCCA
rnacentral:tRNA from 1 species